rnacentral:rRNA from 2 species
GGACUACCGGGGUAUCUAAUCCUGUUUGAUCCCCGCACUUUCGAGCCUCAGCGUCAGUUACAGUUUCGUUAGCUGCCUUCGCAAUCGGUGUUCUAUGACAUCUCUAUGUAUUUCACCACUACAUGUCAUAUUCCGCCAACGGCAUCUGUACUCAAGCCCUACAGUAUCAAUGGCAAUUUCUGAGUUGAGCUCAGAGAUUUCACCACUGACUUAUAAGGCCGCCUACGCUCCCUUUAAACCCAAUGAAUCCGGAUAACGCUUGCAUCCUUCGUCUUACCGCGGCUGCUGGCAC